rnacentral:rRNA from 1 species
GAUGAACGCUGGCGGCGUGCCUAAUACAUGCAAGUCGAACGCUGGAACUCUAGCUUGCUAGAUUGAAGGAGUGGCGAACGGGUGAGUAAUACAUAAGCAACCUACCCACGAAGACUGGGAUAAUCUCUGGAAACGGGGACUAAUUCCGGAUAGGUAAUCGGAAGGCAUCUUCUGAUUAUUAAAGGUUAAAAACACUGGUGGAUGGGCUUAUGGCGCAUUAGUUAGUUGGUGAGGUAACGGCCCACCAAGACGAUGAUGCGUAGCCGGCCUGAGAGGGUGAACGGCCACAUUGGGACUGAGACACGGCCCAGACUCCUACGGGAGGCAGCAGUAGGGAAUUGUCGGCAAUGGGGGAAACCCUGACCGAGCAACGCCGCGUGAGUGAUGACGGCCUUCGGGUUGUAAAGCUCUGUUGUAAGGGAAGAACGGUAGAUAGAGAAUAUCUAAAUGACGGUACCUUACCAGAAAGCCACGGCUAACUACGUG